CUGUCCAGACAUCCCCAUACUUCUCUUCCCAUACCCAACACAAAGAAAGGAAUAGUCAAAAUCCAUCGAACUCCCAACUUACCUUCACAGCUAGGGAGGGCUCGGCUCCACUGAAAAUUGGGCUCACACUCCAGUGGCUCACCAUCGCUUAGAGUGUAGCCAGAGUCACAACUGAAGGUCACCAAAGCACCAACAUAGAAGUCAUUUCCAUGACGAUGACCAUUCACAGGAAUCCCAGGGUCUAAACAGUGGUCUGACUGUAUGGUGACAGCUGGAACAGAGAACCCACAGCUAAAAGGAAGGGCUCACAGAUGUAGCAGAGGAACCACAUCUGGAAAUGAGAGCAGAAUUACUACCUACCAAAUCUGCAUGCAGGUAGAGUAAGUCCAAGAAAUUGCACCUCUCAACAAAAGGGAUUGAGACCUUCUGAGAAUCUGCAGCACUAGGAACUAUGAAUUCAUCCCAGGAAGGGAACUUAAUUGACUAUGCCUAAUCACAUUAUCUAGAACUUCUAAAAGGAAGAGAAAAUAAAAAGAAGACCAAACUGAACACCAGGGUCAGGGCACUCGUUGUGUCGAAAUGCUGUAUAAGAUGGAGGCUGGUUAGCCUGGGCUGACUCCAGAAAUAAAGCCACCACAUCACAGUCACCAAGCCCGGACCUCCGCCAAUGCUUUCCCCAAAGCCUGCAAUGGAGGGGAAGACAAAGUAGCCUUCUUUCCACCUCCCACUCUAAACCUGGGUCCAGCCCAGUAAUUAGGCACUUGAGCAUAGGAAGAAGAAUUUUCACUAGAAACUGCUGAUUCGAGAUCAACUAAAAUGGUAAGAUGUAAAGUCAAGUCUAUUGUCCACUUCAUAAACUCUCCACAAUACUAUAUCUCCAGAGAUGAAAUACGGACCUGGUUGACUAGAAAAAAAAAAAACUAGUCUAGGGUACUUCACCUGAAGUUAUCUGUUCUGUUUCCUUUCCUCCAAGACAGGGUUUCUUCUGAAUCAGCCCAGGCAGGUGAGAAUAGUUCCUUAAAAUAAAGAUCUCCCAACAUUCCCAAUAGACAAUUCCUUUGCCUCAUUGUCAUCCAUACCAAUGGUCCAUUAAAAACAGACACUCAUGAUCUUUAAUGAAGCAAAUUUCCAAUAGAAAACUUGUUUUGUGCUUAAAUU